CUUCUAACGUUGAAAUUUCAGAAGAUACAAUGAAAACUCUAUAAUGACGGACAUAUUUUCAUUAGAUAUGGAUGAGUCGAUAGACUUCAUAGUUAAGCACCUUCCGGAGUCGAUCUACACCAGUUUAAAUGUGACCUGGAGUAAGAUCAUGUCCGGGGAACCUGACUCAGAGGUUGUCACAACAGUUUUAAUCUCCCUAAUUAUUCCGGCCGUGAUCAUCCUCAUCAUAUCCUGGAGCCUGGGGACGAAGGUGAAGGAGAAGAUCCCAGAUCAGAUCAAGAACAAGAUCAAUGCAGCGCGAGAUUUCGUGGUUCCCCCCGAGGGUCCAAGGUUCAGGAAAAGAGAUAAAAUUGCCUUCAUUGGACAAAGAAUGGUCAAAAAAGUAAAGGCGGCCGGCAGCUAUAUCCGAGGAGGACAAGGACGGAAAAGAAAGGCUAUUGCCAAGUUUGCUAAACGUUUGCUAGGACAACAGAUAUCUCCUGAAACAGGACAUAAGUUCAAACUUCCCCUACCCUUGGAGUACCUGGAGGAGGACUUCGACGGAGGACACGAGAUUUUACCGCAACAGCUGAAGUUCGUGCUGCAGAACAUGCGAGUUUUCGGUCAUUUUGAGCAACCAAUCUUCCUCGAGAUCGUUAAACAGAUCGAGUAUAUGUCGGUGCCAGCAAACCAAUAUCUAUUCCAGGUUGGAGAUCCAGAUGCCAAUAUAUUUAUCGUUCAGACCGGUCUUCUCAAUGUUUACUCUACUGACCCUGAAGGGAACAAGUCUAGUCUAAAGCAAGUUAAACCCGGGGAUUCUGUGAUGUCUCUUCUCAGUUUUCUAGAUCAUCUCUCCGGACAGUACAAUCCCUACAAGACUGUAUGCGCCAAGGCAAUGGAAGAUACCAAGAUAAUUAAACUUCCAUUUAGUGCGUUUAAGAUUGCGUUUGAAAAGUACCCGGAUGCGUACUUGCGCGUAGUUCAGAUUGUGAUGAUUCGACUUCAACGCGUGACCUUGCUAGCCCUUCAUCAGUAUCUAGGACUAGGUACUGAACUGAUUGCCAGCCAGCACAGGGGGAACAAGAACCUCAAGUAUAGGUUAGAUAGGAUGGACUCUAUCCAGGGAGCAGGAGCAGCAGAUGAGUCAGUAAACCAACCUUCAAUAUUGCAGAUGCAGUUGUCAAAUCAGAAGAAGAGGAAAAGUUCUAUUGAGAAGCGGGAGGAGAUGCUGAUGUUUGCCCUUAAAACCUUCAAGGAGCAGCUAGGACUUGAAUCUGAAGCAAGUUUGGAGGGAAAUGUGGAAAUCAGAGAAAUUCCUGAAGGAUACCGGAUCAUGGAGGAGGAUAGUUUGAAGGAUGCAGCUUUGGUUCUAGUCGUCCAGGGUUGCUUCAUCGUCUCCCAGCAGGGAGAGGACGGAAAGGAGAAGGAGCUCCAUCAUUGUUAUCCUGGAGGACUUCUUGGACAACUCCAGGUGUUAACAGGAGAACCAUCCAUCUUUACAGUGUGUGCUCGUGUGUCAAGUCACGUGGCCUGCUUGUCCCGACAGCUCGUCUUUGAUCUAAUGUCUGCUCAACCGGAUGUUACUCUUCAUCUGGCGAGCAGUGUGACGUCACAUUUAUCUCCUUUUGUUAGAUCUAUAGAUUUUGCUCUGGACUGGAUGCUUAUAGAGUCAGGGAAAGCAAUAUAUCGUCAGGGUGACGAGGCCGAUUGUACAUUCGUCAUUCUCUCCGGCCGUCUCCGGUCUGUCAUAGUUAGGAACGGUCGACGAGAGUUGGCCGGAGAGUUUGGACGAGGAGAACUAUGCGGGAUUAUUGAAACUCUGACAGGAACUCAGAGGUCAACAACUCUCCUUGCAGUCCGUGAUACAGAGGUUGCAAAACUCCCAGCUGGACUGAUUAACUGCAUCAAACUUAGGUUCCCAGUGGUCGUCUCUAGGCUUAUGAGUCUUCUAGGGAAAAGAUUGCUUUCUCUUGAGCAACCUGGUCUCGGACAGGGAGCUAGUGAAUCUGUGGGUAACCCUGGGUUCAGUACCAUUGCUCUUGUUGCUGUAACAGAUAAUAUUCCUCUCUCCGCCAUUACACAUGAGCUUGUUCAUUGUCUAAACAUUAUAGGUCCAGCUAAGAGAAUAUCUCCUGACGUGGUCCGAGCAGCUUUAGGAAGCUCUGCUCUUGAACCUGGGAAUGAUUAUAAGAUGACCGCCUGGUUGGGAGGUCAGGAGGAUCAACACAAGGUUGUAGUUUACCAGGCUGAUUCAGUAGAGAGACUUACACCUUGGACUCAACAGUGUAUUAGGCAUGCUGACUGUAUCCUGAUAGUAGCGUGGGCAGAUUCGAAACCAUCCGUCUCCGGGUUUGAAGAGAAGCUGGAGAAUCUCUCCUUGAGAACCACAAAGGAGCUGGUUCUUCUCCACUCGGAGGAAACAGAACUGCCACAAAAUACAAGCAAAUGGUUGGAAGAAAGAUCCUGGAUCAGCGCUCAUCAUCAUAUUCGUGUUCCAUCCCGUCUUUGUGUUAAACGGUCCGACCGGAGACUUGAAGAGCAGUACCAACAGUUGGCCAUAGAGGGAGUUAAACCUGAUAUUCAUUCUGAUCUGGCGAGAUUAAGCCGGAUACUGACAGGAACUAGUGUAGGACUGGUUUUAGGAGGAGGAGGAGCUAAAGGUUGCUCUCAUGUUGGUAUGAUAAAGGCAAUAUUAGAGGCUGGUAUACCCAUAGAUAGGGUUGCUGGAGUAUCCAUUGGAUCAUUCAUGGGAGCACUCUGGUGCCAGGAGAGGGAUAUCAGCAAGCUCACCAUCAAGGCCAGGAGCUUCUGUAAGAAGAUGGGACAGAAAUGGAGGAUGGCGCUAGACCUCACCUAUCCUUACACCAGUAUGAUGUCAGGGUUCGGGUUUAAUACUCUCCUGGAGGAGGUGUUUACGAAUACUCAGAUAGAAGAUCUCUGGGUUCCGUUCUUUACUAUCACCACAGAUAUUAGUGUCUCUAGUAUGCGGAUUCAUGAGGUUGGAUCAGUUUGGAGAUAUGUCAGAGGUUCAAUGUCUUUAGCAAGUUAUAUGCCCCCAAUGUGUGACCCUGUUGACGGUCAUCAUCUGUUAGACGGAGGAUAUGUUAAUAAUCUACCUGCUGACAUCAUGCACAAGAAGGGAGCUCAUCAUAUCCUGGCUGUAGAUGUUGGAUCACAGGAUGAGACGGAACUACAUAAUUUCGGAGACUGGUUGUCAGGCUGGCAAAUACUCUGGGCUAAACUCAAUCCGUUCUCAACCAUGCCAAAGGUCCCAAGUCAAGCAGAGGUUCAGUUACGCUUGGCGUACGUAUCCUGUGUGCGUCAGCUAGAGGAAGUUAAGAAUGCGUCAUACUGUGAUUAUAUUCGUCCGCCUAUAGACAAGUACGGAACCUUGCAGUUCGAGGCCUUCGAGGAGAUUCGAGAUGUUGGAUACUAUCAUGGACAGACUUAUUUUGCUGGACUGCGUAAAGCUGGUCAACUGGGUUGGGUCAAUUUUGACCGAUCUAAUCGUCGAGGAAGCUUAGAAAACCUUGCUGUAGAUAAACAUGCUCCAGGUCUACCAGGAAACUAUGCAAGGUUUACUGAUCUUGCUGAGAUGGUUUGUCGGGUUCGUCAGACUACUCCAGAUAGACAAAUUGUCCCGUAUUCUGCAGAAUCUGAUCUUUCUGAUAAUUCGGAGACAGAACCUGAUGAUUCGGAUUUUCUAACGGAUCCUGAAAACUGUAUUGAAGAGGAUGAUGAAGAUCUAGAGAGUGGGUUUAUGUCAACAGGAAAUGGAGAUUUUCCUCCACAGAACUACCCAUUGAGUUUGAAGGAUGAGAAUGGAUCCAGAUCUAGAUCUUCUAGUUUUACUAAUAAACCGGGACAUAUAUAGAAUACAGUAUAUUUAUAGUUUUCAUUUAUUGGGAUACCAAAAAUAUGAAAAUAUUCAACUCUUAUAGAUGAUAAUUAAAUAUCUGGCAAAAGCGCCUGUUUCUUUGCAAUCAGAAAUUUUUCUUAUAGAUUUGUAUACAUCUGCGCUAUUUUGUGUGUUUUUGUACUGAAUUUAAAAUAUGCUUUUUUGUUAGUAUCAUAGUUUCAGACAAUAUUUUACAUGUUAUGCUUUUCUUUUUAAAUAGUUUUCUUGAUUAAUUUAUAUUCCUUAAAUCGCUUGGAUUUCUAAAUCUCUUGUUGUUAAGGUAGAAAAUGAGAUUAUUCCAAUACUUCUUGAGUUGAAAACUUUUAAAUGAACAGAAUAAGCUAAACUAAUUAUGUCUGGCAAAUCUUGUUUAAUCAUUGAGAGAGAAAACUUUUGAAUGAGAAAUCCUUAAUCCCGAUCGGUUAAUUAAUCUGGAGGUAAAAUACAGGAGGAGAACAAGCAUUAUUCAAUCUGGAUUUUAAGUAAAAGAGUGGAUCAAGCAUUAAUCCCGAUAUCCACCAUUUAAAAAUUCCCAGCUCAUUUAGGUUUAACUGAUAUUUCAGAUCUGCAUUUUUGGUUAAUCUUUAACCUUUCUUUUAAAGUUACCAAGCAGGGAACUUUGGAAUGGUGGAAUCGAGAUCAAUGCUUGAUCCUCUCUCUUUUAUCUCGAAACUAGCCUAAUCUUGUGUUUGUAUCCUGAAAAGUGUAGAAAUUUCAACCAAUCAGAGUGGUGUAUCAGCAGCCGGGAAAUUUGAAAUUUUGCGCGCCAUUUAAAGAGAGUUCUCGUAUCUAAUUAAGAUUGAUAUACAAUUAUAUAAUUUUUAAAAACCGGUUUUUGAUUUGUCAACUUUUGCCAUAAAGAGUGAAUUAAGCAAGAAACUAAAAGUGUCCACAUUGGAUAUUCAGAUUAAGCGAUUGGGAUUAAAGGUAUCCGAUUCUAAAGUUCCCAGCUCAGUUCAAAUUUUUUUGUCAUUCAUUUUAGGGCUUAAACUUAAAUUAUUUUUCAUCGUAAAAUUCCAUUCAGAAAAUUCCGACUUAAAUAAAAUUUGCUGUGAGAAUGAUGUAAGGCAUUUUCAUGUUAUUUUCUUAUCGUUAACACAAAAUGUUAAAAUAGUUAUUUUCCAGUUUUAAAGGGAUUUCGCAUUUGGACAAAUGUUACGUUUUCUAAAUCACCUCUCUUGCCAUUUUUAAAAGCUACCAGCAUUGAUCGAUUUCAUAAAAUUUACAUUUAACUACUCGGACUAGUUUACGCAGUUUAAACAAGUUGAGAAGAAGUUUAAUAAAAACAGUUCUACUUAUAAAUAUCGAAAUUAGAGUGUUUCCUCAGAGUUUGUAAAAAUAUAAACAUUGUAAUGUAUACUCAAUAAUUGGUUCAAACUAUUCUCUAUCUCUCUCCCCAGUCCUCAAACUAUUGGAAUUUUGCCAAAUAUUGAUGAAUCCGAAGUUGCAUACAUCAAUAUUUGAUUGAACUUAAACCAAUUUAUAAAAUUUUGAAAAGUUUGAAUCAAAAGUACGCCCUAGAACUUAGCUUUAGCAAUAUUUUAUCAUGCUUGAAAUUUUAUUAAUACAAGGUUUAUUUUAACGCUUAAUAUCUGGGUUCUUCAUUCUUCAAGUUUGCUAACUCCACACACUUUCUGGUGUUUAAAUUAUAAUCUAGUAGCCUAGUUCUCCAGGUUCUUUGAAUGCUCUAGUUUGUCCAUAUGCUUCUUGAUCUCUGGAUGCUCCAGGUUCUCUGGAUUUUCUAGAUGCUCUAGGUUCUUUGGAUGCUCUAGGUUUUCCGUAUGUCCCAGGUUCUCUUGAUGCUCCAGGUUCUCUGGAUGUUCUAGGUUCUUAUAGAUUCUCUAGGUUCUUUGGAUGCUCCGGGUUCUUUCUCUGAAUGCUCUAAGUUUUCUUGAUGCUCCAGGUUCUCUGAAUGCCCUAGGUUCUCUGUAGCUCCAGUUUCACUGGAUGCUCUCGAUUCUUUGUAUGCUCGAGGUUCUCUGGAUUCUCCAGGGUCUUUGGAUGCUUUAGGUUUUAAUAUGCUUUAUGCUCUCUAUAUUCUUCAAUUUCAUCCGGGUUCACUACUGCACCGGGUUUUAAAGAUUAGAUAUAGUUAAUGAGUUCCCUUCGCCAAAUUGUGUUCUAAACAUUUAGUCAAGAACUCAUCCAUCUUAUAAAGAAUGCCAUUUUCAAUCCAUUUUAUACAAAUAUGUAAAUAUGUGUUCAUGCUUUCAGAAUUAUCCGCAAAGUAUGAGACUUCAGAGGAAUUUAUUCAAUGGUUCCGUGCAUUUUUUCAAAUCAUCAAGUUUACCCGUAAAAGGUGAUAUCCAAUCCAUAAGUUCAAAUUCAACCUUCAGCUUGUCAUAUUUACAGAGAUCCAGGGUGUCACAAACGUCUUAUUCUUUGUGGGUAACCCUGUAAUUAGCUGAUCAAUUAGCUUGAUAAACCUGCAUUGGUGCCAUAUAAAUGUUGUUAUGUAUUAUACAGAUUGAUAGAAAACGUGUGAUUAAUUUUAUAUCAGCAAAAUUAUUUAAAUAAAGAUUGUUUUUCUUAUU
rnacentral:misc_RNA from 1 species